rnacentral:lncRNA from 1 species
AAGGAGAACCUCAUGGCCAGGUUUGUGCCCUUAGUGAGGUCCCCAAGGGGGAACCUGGAAGGACCACUGUCUUCUUAUAGCCCUUCAGACCCCCCCAGAGGCUCUGCCUCCCCACACCCUGGCCUCCCUCCCCAGGCUCUGGGAGGCCAGGCCUCGCCCCCUCUCCUGUGCUGCUCCUUCUCCCAGAGGACUGCAUCCGCCCUCAGCACUUCAAGGCCCUGCAUGUGCCCGCACCUCUCCACUCCCCUGGCUCAGCUUGGACCUCUCUUCUGAACUCCAGACUUGCGGAUCCUGCUCCCCUUCCCACUUCUGCACUUGGGGGUCUAAUGAGGCCUCAGUGGAACAUAGAAUUCCUCCCGCCCUGACAUCAUAGCUCCCGCCUGGGAGGCCUCCUGGAUGACUCCUUUCGCCUCCUCCCUUCCCUGAGAGCAGCCCCUGGCUCAACCUCCACCUCCGUGCUGCCUCGGACCACCUGCCCAGUCGAGCUGCCAUCACCUGCCAGGGUGAGCCACUGCGCCUGAUCAAGGCAUCACCGUUGAACCUCCUAAGAGGAAAACAUAAGGCUGUGCAAUACCAGGAACUGGGAUUCUAGGUUGCCCCAGACACCAAGGCAUCAAAAGCCAGGGGAUCCAGAGAAAACACAGACAGCCAAGAGAGAAACUGCGGGAAAAAGCCAAAAGGUUGAGAGCCACACCAUCUAGAAGCUUCCUGCCUGUGGUGCGGCACAGAAACAAGGAGAGUCAGCAAUUACCAGCCAGCCAAGGUCCUGGAAGCUGACGUAGAGCUCGUGCCGACGGCAGACCUGCCGGCCGUGGGAGCCGCGGACGUCAUCUGCAGGGACAGAAGGGGCAAGGUCUUUUCUGGGGUUCCUGCUGUGUGCAGCUACUAUGGGGUACCAGGGUGGGGGAUGCCCUGAUGAGCACAUUUGUCAAAUAAAUGAAUGACAGGAAACCAUUUGGUCUCAUAAAGCCCAUCCCUGGAACGCUGCUUGUACCAUGACCCAGCUCAAAAGCCUGCCAUGGCUCCCAAUGGCUAGAGUGACACUGUGCCCAGUC